CUAAAAAAAGAAGCCCUCCUCCCGUAUCCCUAACCUUGUGACGCCUACCAUCGCGCCGCCACUUCCCAUGGAUCGCGCCGCUGCUUCCGAUGGAUUGUGUCGCCGCUCUGCUCACCACCGUAGUCGUCACAGCCUAUCCCAGCAGUCGUCGCUGCCCACCGCAUCCAGCCGCUGUCGCAUCUCACCGCCUCCACCGCCCCCAUGAAUCACCGCCUCCUCUCUUGGACCAGCAUGCUGCGGUGUAUGCUUCCGGUCCCGUUGUGGCGACACGGCUCGUCAAGGGAACGCGAUGAGGCGGAUUGUGUCUCGUUCGUUGAUCUGCCCCACUUGCUGCUGCUCCUCUCCCAUCGACCGUCACGUCAACAUUUACCGCGACACACGACGUUCUCCUCUUCUCCGACGAUGCUUAUAAGCAACAAUAAUGGUGUCCUGUUGUGGCCCAACACUCAUCGGACUGCUGACGCAUGGAAGUGCCCGGAGAAGAUCACUCUCCGCUUAGCAAAUUCCACCGUGUUCUGAAUGGCUGCCCAACAAGACGCUCUGCCGGAUGUUCAUCAUCAGCGCCAGUCAUGGGUUCGGGCUACUGUGGAACUCAUGGCAUCAACCAUAUGAACCUGCAUGUAUUUGAUAGUUUGCUCGAUCAGUUUUAUGCCUUCCACUACAGCUAAGGCUACUACGCAACUUCAUUGAGAUUUUUUCUAUAGGACUUGGAUUAAUAAUCCCCAACAAUACAGUCACACUUCUUAUAAAUUUCAGGUAUAAAUACAUUUGUGAUUUUCUGUAUGUUGUACUACUAACUGUGUGCUAUACCAAGCAUGGCAUCUGCGCUUUUUCAGAUAUGCAUGCAUUAUUCAAGAGAAUUUAUCUAAGAUGUAGUAUAUAGAAAGGUACCUAAAAUGUUAGCUUAUAUUGCCAACUCUUGAAAAUAUACGGGCCUUUUACUUUUUUUGCCACGAACCAUGGGAUUUCAUGAAUAAUACCCAAUGCAUUGCUUACUGUUGUCCAGUGUACUACAGUUUAGUAUGUAAAACUUGACCUUUGUUUGACAAGAGAAUGUCUGCUAACUCCCAAACGGACUGACUUUCGAGAACCAAUUUAGGUUGUGAUCAUUAGUGCGUCUUCAAAGCUGCUUCACAUAACAUAACAUUUGAUUUUUACUAAUCUGAAAUCAAGCCUAAGCAAUGUUAAGUAGACCUUUGAAUUCUUAAUAAGGAAAUUACACAAUCUGUUAUGUGUGUUGUAGAAUUAGUGUUGUUUGAAAAUGUUUUUCUUCUUACCAAUCAGGUUCAUGAUUUUGACUGUCGAUGCAGACGCUGUGCUGGAUGUUCAUCAUUGGUGGCAGUCAUGGGUUCAGGCUCCUGUGGAACUCAUGGCAUCGACCAUAUGAACCUUCAUGUAUUUGAUAGUUUGCUCGAUCAGUUUUAUGCCUUCCACUACAGCUAAGGCUACUACGCAGCUUCAUUGAGAUUUUUUCUAUAGGAUUUGGAUUAAUAAUCUCCAAUAAUAUGGUCAUGCUUCUUAUAAUUACUUUUAGGUAUAAAUACAUUUGUGAUUUUCUGUAUGUUGUACUACUAAACUGUGUGCUAUACCAAGCCUAAGCAAUGUUAAGUAGACCUUUGAAUUCUUAAUAAGGAAAUUACACAAUCUGUUCUGUGUGCUGUAGGAUUAGUGUUGUUUGAAGAUGUUUUUCUUCUUACCAAUCAGGUUCAUGAUUUUGACUGUCGAUGCAGACGCUGUGCCAGAUGUUCAUCAUCGGUGGCAGUCAUGGAUUCAGGCUCCUGUGGAACUCAUGGCAUCGACCAUAUGAACCUUCAUGUAUUUGAUAGUUUGCUCGAUCAGUUUUAUGCCUUCCACUACAGCUAAGGCUACUAUGCAGCUUCAUUGAGAUUUUUUCUAUAGGAUUUGGAUUAAUAAUCUCCAAUAAUAUGGUCAUGCUUCUUAUAAUUACUUUCAGGUAUAAAUACAUUUGUAUUUUUUAGGAGAAUUUAUCUAAUAUGUAGUAUAUAGCUAGAAAGUUACCUAAAUGUAUAUUGCCAAAUCUUGAAAAUAUACGGACCUUUUACUUUUUUUGCCGUGAACCUAGGCAGCUUGGGACGGAGUAGGUGUCAAUAGUAAGUAUAUACUAGAACAUUUUUUUUAUGAUUGCUAGAACAAUAUUUCUGCGAUAUUGUAUAUACUAACAUAGUGACUGUGGAGUACUAAUUCAAAGUAUAUACUAUUGUACUGUAUUUUGUCUAAAUACCAUCUAUAUCAAAGUAGUACAUAGACUGCUCUUUGUGCACGGCAGUAUGUAGCAUACAAAAUGAAAUCAAAUGGGUAUAUAACAUACACUUUGAUAAAGUAAGUAUAUACUUUUUUUCUGGUGCAGUAUAUACAACAUUUUUGUAAGGCAAUAUAUAGUACUUUUUAAGUGAACCAGUAUACUACCCUUUUUAUUCAGUAUAUACAUAAUCUUUUAGUCGAUAUAUACUACUCUUUCUGAGUAGGUAUAUACUACUGUUCUUGAUAUAUAAGGCAACAUGCAAAUUCCAUGCCGCCUUGUGGACCAGUGCAUGCCAUGCCAACAUUGUUUCUUAUUACCACCGUUGUUGACAAUAUUGGUGGUGUCGUCACAUGGAUCAAUCAGUGCACCCCACGCUGUCGCUUUGUCAACGAGAUGGUAGUGCCGUCUUAUCCAUCGAUCAAUGCACCUACUUAUUAACGUCGCAUCGGCUAUGUGACUAGCUGCGUCAGUGGCUUUGCACCUCGAUCCAGAUUACUUUCAUGCAAAGCCUGUCAUGUUUGCCUUAUGUGCAGGAAUAGGCAAGCACAACAGAAGACCUGAUCAUAGACACUCAUAGUCUGAGGUAAAUACUCCUUCAAUGCAAGCUGUCAAAUAGUUUUCUUUUAUCUUGAAAACUGUAAAUUUAUUUAAAAAAUUGUGGUAACAAAUUUAUUAAGUUAUUAUGUGGGAGAGACCAUCAACUAAUAAUAAUAUAUAAAACAAGGGUAGGCUAGAAAAAGAUACAUCAUUCUUAGAAAAUUGUACUAACAAAGUUGUUAAGUUAUUACGUGGGAGAGACUCAACUAAUAAUAUAAAAACAAGGGUAGGCAGUAUUAUCGGAAAGAUUGGACGCUACUUCUUCCUCCAGGCCUCACGCUUCUCCACCAUCUCUUCCUCUCCUGGUUAGAAAAUAACCUCAAUCAAUUUUCCUUAUUUGUAACUUUUUCGGCUGUGCUAAUGGAGCUUAUACUAAAAACUGUUUUCCUCAUCUGCAUCAGGUUCAUUUUCUUACAAUAUUUUGUUAUAUGUUUUUCCUUGCAGGUUUAUCUUGAAUACACAAUAACUUUGGAUUUGAGAUCACUUUGUUUUGUACCAUGUGCUUGGAUAGAGUUGUGCCCUACAGGGAUGCAAUCCCGGCUCUUCUCACUAGAACCUAUGGAUACCUCAUGGAGAUUUGUUGGAGCAUAAUCUUCUAAUGUACAACCUAUGUAUACAUAUGGACAUCGGAGGGAGCAUAAUUAUGAUCAUCAAGCGAGCUUAUAAAAACCUGCCGUCUAAACAGACUACAGCGGCAUGAAGGAGGCUAAUGUCAGUUGUCAACGUCGUCACUGGUCAAGUUACUAAUCAAUUUUUGUAUCGACAAAACAUGUCCAGGACCCUCCAUGGGAGAGUUAACAUCUUCAAUGGCCUUCCCAAUCUCCAGUUACGGCUGAUGUUGUUGCUUGAUAUGCUGGUCCACCACAAUCUCCUGUUCAUGGAAGUUCCUUGCCAAGCUGCCAUGUCCUGGCCGGAGAAUUGACUUCUCAUGAUUUUUCUUCUAACCCUUUUUUCAGUCAGCAGAUAGUGCAGAUAGUUAGGCAGUGAAACACUUGACAAUGAAGAUGUUUGUCAACUACUAAAACAUUGAUAGCUUCUGUUAUACUGUAUAUCUGAAUAAACAAUUUUGCGGGCAAUUUUUUUGCAUAAGUAAAGGCAUGUGAGAACUGCUAA